CAGCUGACCACUUGGUGUAGACAACAGGAAGGGUUUCAAAGUAUAUUUGUUUUAAAGUUGAUGUUCACUGCUUUGGAAAAGCCAAAAUAUUAGCAGUUAAAUUUUAUCAAGAAAUGCUUCUAUCUCUCCUCUGAUUUUGUAGACCAUUGUACAUGGAACUUCCAUACUCAACCAUAGGUCAGCUAAAAACAGAAACUGAAACAUACAGCUGGACAAGAUGACAUAACUGAUUCAAAAACUACAAGAUAUGUAAGAAGUGACUCCUGCAUCAAAUCUAUAACAUCUCUGUGAGCUACAGCUUAUCCCUGAGAAAAACAACCACUAUUGAUUUGAAGAGAUCGGGUAAUUGAAGAGCUAUCAUAUUCCAAGUUUUUCCACUACAUGAAAGACCUGUCUCUACAGAUAUCUUCCUUAGCUGUACGUGAGCAAUGCCUAAGACCAUGGACUGAAACCCCAAACUGCUACUCUUCCUGACAUUUAUUGCAGUUCCAGCUACUGGAUGGACCAGAGAAAGUGUAUGCAAAAUAAUCGCUUCUUCCCAUAAUGACAUGUAAAUCAGGACCAGUUCUAUCCUCCAGCCUAGAAGCCAUGAAAGGAGGUUGUGAACCUCAGAAAACAAGACCUCCUGGACUGCUUGUGGACUUGUGGCACCCCCUGCCUUGAUAGAGGAUUAUGUCAAGACAUAUGGGUACACACCCUUAAUUCAUGGCUUCCUUGGGGUCUCUACCACUUGUCUGAAGCAUGUUGUAGUCCCUUGACGGUCAUGAAGCACAAGAAUCUGGAGCAAGACACUGUUUGGAAGAACAAUCUGAAAGGUAAUAGCCAUAUUCAGCUCACAGAUGUUUUGCUUCCAUUCAGGAGUACACAGAAACUGUAUAGAAAACUAACUGUCUUUUAAACUCUUCUCCUGGUAAAGCACAGUCCAACGCCAAACCCAGGCAAUCUCUGAGUACUUCGUGUCCUGGGCCUUGGCCUUGGCCAAUGGCCACGCUGGGCAUUUAAUAGUAUGCACAUCCCCACACUAGUGCUCAGGCAUCUACCCUAGCCUUAUAUAAUUUUCUAAUAUAAACUAUAAACUACAGUAGUAUACCUGUAUGGAUACAACCACUGAAAUCAUGCAACUUCUCAAAUGUGAUGGUGGGUGCACAAAUGUUUGUGACAGAAAUUACAGAAAUUACAGGCUACACAAGCAGCUGGAAGAACUCCACAUACUGCUGGAGAGUUGAAUCUAAGCAAUUAAUUAUGUUUCAUUUCUAUGUUUGAUAGUGGUAAGGUCUGUUUCCAGGGAAAAAGAAAGUAUUUUUCUGAAUAUUUAAUGUUUUUAAUGCAUUCUUUCAGUUCUGUAAUUAAUUGUAUGUCCCUGUUUUUACUUAUGUGUAACUAAAAAAAAAUUAAAAAGAUGAAUUUCUGAAUAACCAUGCAGAAGCUGCUGGUUUGCUUUGAAAAAUAAAGGAGACUGAAAUAGCUUGAUUAGAUUUUAAAAAAUAAAUAAAUAAAUUAGCAGUGAAAAAAUCCAAACAGCAAAAAAUGGAGCUUUUCUGGCAACCUGAAUUUGCAAGAAAUUCUGAUUCUAAUGAGACAGAAAAGUUAGGAGAAGAAAGCACACCAAAAGAAAAAAAAAGACAGAGAGAGAGAGAGAGAGAGAGCCUUAAGAGCAUUCCACUAAGAAAUUUGAUUGUAACACCAGAACUGUCUCCUUCACAGACAAAAAUCUGUCUUCAAAACAUUUGCAGAAGUGUUGCAGAAAUAAAUCAGUUCUCACCGAAACAAGACUUCUGUAGUCAGUACCACAGUACCACCUUGUGGAGAAAUAUAAACAGCCUCGGUAUUGAUUUCUUCCACCAAGCAGUUAGUUUCAGGAAAUAACUAUAAUAUAAGCAUAAAAUUCUAACUAUGAUGAAUGAAACAGACCCAGGCACCAGCAACAUAUGUGAUGCAUGACUUCUCCCAGAGUUAAAUUACUUGUUUUGAAGAAGCCAUGUUCCAGUCAAAAUCUUUCAGAAGUCUAAUGUGAAAACUUCCUGGAAGAAAAAUGACUCCUUUUAUAUUUGCCUGGAUUCCUUUCUUGACUUCCAUGUGCUGCAAAUUUAUUUCUCCAGUUACACUGAAUCAAGAGAACAAUUGUCUCAGGCAUGUCAAAUUCUGCCCCCACAAAACGUUUCAUAAACGUAAAGGCUAUGACAUAAACAAACUAACACCAGACUCCUUGAGAUGACUUCUCUUAUUGCUUUUCUGUAACUGAUGAAGCGAUUAGGGACAGUAAUAUUCCAGAACACAUUUGAAGAAAUAAGGUUAUCAAAUUCUCUUGCCCAAAGGGAACUAUCACCUGCUUUUCUCCAUUUCUUUUACACUGUGAAAGAAAUUUGUAUGAUUAAGUAAUUGCUGGCAGUCAGGAGAAACAGUCACACAGUUGUCAUAUUUUAAGAGCUCUGUUAAAUGAAACUUUCACACUUUUAAAAAUAACUUUUUACACACAUCUCUGCAGCACUCUUUAACUCUUGCUCCUAAUGACAUUUUGGGAUAUUCUGUUUUGUGUACUGCCUGUCAGGCUAAAUUGGAACAAACAGUGCCAAAGUGUGUAUAGUAACCUUCAAUUUUAUGUUGUCCUGAGAAUGAGGGGAAUAUUUGUUUUUAUUUUUGCUGUCAAUAAACAAAAUUUCAACCUUGUUGCA
ensembl:lncRNA